GACAGAGGGUGCAAACGUUGUUCGGAAUUACUGGGCGUAAAGCGUGUGUAGGCGGCUACGUAAGUCAGGUGUGAAAUCCCUGGGCUCAACCCAGGAAGUGCAUUUGAUACUGCGCAGCUUGAGUGUCGGAGAGGUUGGCGGAAUUCUCGGUGUAGAGGUGAAAUGCGUAGAUAUCUGGAGGAACACCGGUGGCGAAGGCGGCAUCCUGGACCAACACUGACACUGAGGAGCGAAAGCCAGGGGAGCAAACGGG
rnacentral:rRNA from 1 species